GCGAGAAUGGCGGAAUUGGUAGACGCGCCAGACUUAGGAUCUGGUGGGGUAACACCUGUGGGGGUUCGAGUCCCCCUUCUCGCA
rnacentral:tRNA from 1 species